rnacentral:rRNA from 1 species
UUCGCAAUGCCCGAAAGGGUGACGAAGCGACGCCGCGUGUGGGAAGAAGGCCUUCGGGUUGUAAGCCACUGUCGGGAGUUAAGAAAUGUAAGAAUGUUAAUAGCAUUCUUACUUGACUAAGGCUCCGGAGGAAGCCACGGCUAACUCUGUGCCAGCAGCCGCGGUAAUACAGAGGCGGCAAGCGUUGUCCGGAAUUAUUGGGCGUAAAGAGCACGUAGGCGGCUAUGUAAGUCGGUUGUGAAAGCCUUCCGCUCAACGGGAGAACGGCAGCAGAUACUGCAUAGCUAGAGUGCGGGAGGGGAGAGUGGAACUUCUGGUGGAGCGGUGAAAUGCGUAGAUAUCAGAAGGAACGCCGGCGGCGAAAGCGACUCUCUGGCCCGUAACUGACGCUGAGUGUGCGAAAGCUAGGGGAGCAAACGGGAUUAGAUACCCCGGUAGUCCUAGCCGUAAACGAUGGGCACUAAGUAGAGGGGUUUU